GGCGGACGGGUGAGUAAUGCCUAGGAAUCUGCCUGGUAGUGGGGGACAACGUUUCGAAAGGAACGCUAAUACCGCAUACGUCCUACGGGAGAAAGCAGGGGACCUUCGGGCCUUGCGCUAUCAGAUGAGCCUAGGUCGGAUUAGCUAGUUGGUGAGGUAAUGGCUCACCAAGGCGACGAUCCGUAACUGGUCUGAGAGGAUGAUCAGUCACACUGGAACUGAGACACGGUCCAGACUCCUACGGGAGGCAGCAGUGGGGAAUAUUGGACAAUGGGCGAAAGCCUGAUCCAGCCAUGCCGCGUGUGUGAAGAAGGUCUUCGGAUUGUAAAGCACUUUAAGUUGGGAGGAAGGGCAGUAAAUUAAUACUUUGCUGUUUUGACGUUACCGACAGAAUAAGCACCGGCUAACUCUGUGCCAGCAGCCGCGGUAAUACAGAGGGUGCAAGCGUUAAUCGGAAUUACUGGGCGUAAAGCGCGCGUAGGUGGUUCGUUAAGUUGGAUGUGAAAUCCCCGGGCUCAACCUGGGAACUGCAUCCAAAACUGGCGAGCUAGAGUAUGGUAGAGGGUGGUGGAAUUUCCUGUGUAGCGGUGAAAUGCGUAGAUAUAGGAAGGAACACCAGUGGCGAAGGCGACCACCUGGACUGAUACUGACACUGAGGUGCGAAAGCGU
rnacentral:rRNA from 1 species